CCGGCGGGAGUCAAUCGUAGCUCCUCUCCCCUACCUCUCUCACCGCUGAUCCACCACCGCCUCUGACAUUCCACCACCGCUUCCGCCUUUCGACGACCAAAGUCGAGCUCAAAUCUGGUUGCGGCAGUCGGAGAUCGCGGACGUCGUCCUCAUCCUCAUCCUCAUCCUCAUCCUCUUCGACCUCUGAUUCGAUCUCUCUCUGUGUUCAAGUUUGUUCGUCUGCUCUAUCAAUGUUUGCUUCUCAAAUCCUCCUGCAGUACCUUCCUAUUCCAAAAUCCCUAAAACAUCCUUCAAAUGCAAGCCAAAACUCCUUCCUAACAACCUUCAAACCCUCCUCAAUGACCACCUUAAAGCUAAGGGCAAUCCUUUACGAAAACUCUUUGUUUAAGCAUCGUUUCACCAAAUCCGAAGAUGGGUCUUUGUUUAAGCACUGUUUCAUCAAAUCCGAAGAUGGGUAUUUGUGCUGUGAGGGUCUUAGGGUUGAGGAUGUGAUGAA